CUCCACCCUUUUAGACGGAUCCUUCAGGUAAUCGGCAAUUUCUUUACGCCAGUCGUCGGCUGCGAGUUCUAAAGCCAUAGCGCCCAGAAUCGGCCGAUACCCAGAUGCGUGCUGGGCGAGUUUGUUUGCUUCUUCGUUGCGGUCCCUUGGAAUAUGCUCGAUUACUGCCGAUCUGAAUUCUUUUAAAAGCUGUAAGCAAUCUUCGUGAUAAAUUCUUAAUACGUCAUCUUUGCACUCAGCCCUUCCG
rnacentral:lncRNA from 1 species